GAGUUUGAUCAUGGCUUAGAAUCAACGCUGGCGGCGUGCCUAACACAUGCAAGUCGAACGAGAAAGGGCAGCAAUGCCUGAGUAAAGUGGCGCACGGGUGAGUAACACGUGACUAACCUACCCUUGAGCGGGGGAUAACCUAGGGAAACCUGGGCUAAUACCGCAUAAUACCUACGGGUCAAAGCAGCAAUGCACUUAAGGAGGGGGUCGCGGCAGAUUAGCUAGUUGGUGAGGUAAUGGCUCACCAAGGCGAUGAUCUGUAUCCGGCCUGAGAGGGCGCACGGACACACUGGAACUGAAACACGGUCCAGACUCCUACGGGAGGCAGCAGUGGGGAAUUUUGCGCAAUGGGGGAAACCCUGACGCAGCAACGCCGCGUGGAGGAUGAAAUCCCUUGGGACGUAAACUCCUUUCGAUCGGGACGAUUAUGACGGUACCGGAAGAAGAAGCCCCGGCUAACUUCGUACCAGCAGCCGCGGUAAUACG
rnacentral:rRNA from 1 species